GGGCCCGUAGCUCAGCCAGGUUAGAGCGCCAGGCUCAUAACCUGGUGGUCGUGGGUUCGAAUCCCACCGGGCCCA
rnacentral:tRNA from 1 species